rnacentral:rRNA from 1 species
GAUUUCUGGCUUGGUGCGCGCCGUCCGCUCCCGUCAGGGAGUGUGUGCGGUUGUGCGCCUGCCAUCUUUUUAGACAUUAUGCUGUGCCCUUCACUGGGUGGCAGGUAGUGGCUGAAUCUUUUACUUUGAAAAAAUUAGAGUGUUCAAAGCAGGCUUGCGCUAUGAAUACAUUAGCAUGGAAUAAUAAUCUAGGACUGCCGUUCUAUUUUGUUGGUUUCUAGGAUGGAAGUAAUGAUUGAUAGGGAUAGUUGGGGGUGCUAGUAUUCAGAGGCCAGAGGUGAAAUUCUUGGAUUCUCUGAAGACUAACUUAUGCGAAAGCAUU